rnacentral:rRNA from 1 species
CCUGGCGGCCUUAGCGCGGUGGUCCCNCCUGACCCCAUGCCGAACUCAGAAGUGAAACGCCGUAGCGCCGAUGGUAGUGUGGGGUCUCCCCAUGCGAGAGUAGGGAACUGCCAGGC